rnacentral:rRNA from 1 species
UACGUAGGGUGCAAGCGUUAAUCGGAAUUACUGGGCGUAAAGCGUGCGCAGGCGGUGAUGUAAGACAGAUGUGAAAUCCCCCGGGCUCAACCUGGGAACUGCAUUUGUGACUGCAUCGCUAGAGUACGGCAGAGGGGGAUGGAAUUCCGCGUGUAGCAGUGAAAUGCGUAGAUAUGCGGAGGAACACCGAUGGCGAAGGCAAUCCCCCUGGGCCUGUACUGACGCUCAUGCACGAAAGCGUGGGGAGCAAACAG